AGAGUUUGAUCAUGGCUCAGAUUGAACGCUGGUGGUAUGCUUAACACAUGCAAGUCGAACGGUAACAUUGGAGCUUGCUCCAGAUGACGAGUGGCGGACGGGUGAGUAACGCGUAGGAAUCUGCCUAGUAGUGGGGGACAACAUGUGGAAACGCAUGCUAAUACCGCAUACGCCCUACGGGGGAAAGCGGGGGAUCUUCGGACCUCGCGCUAUUAGAUGAGCCUGCGUUAGAUUAGCUUGUUGGUGGGGUAAUGGCCUACCAAGGCGACGAUCUAUAGCUGGUCUGAGAGGACGAUCAGCCACACUGGGACUGAGACACGGCCCAGACUCCUACGGGAGGCAGCAGUGGGGAAUAUUGGACAAUGGGCGCAAGCCUGAUCCAKCAAUACCACGUGUGUGAAGAAGGCCUGAGGGUUAURAAGCACUUUCAAUUGGGAGGAAAACAGCUGGGUUAAUAGCCCUGCUCUUGACAUUACCUUUA
rnacentral:rRNA from 1 species